UAGGGAAUCUUCCGCAAUGGGCGAAAGCCUGACGGAGCAACGCCGCGUGAGUGAUGAAGGUCUUCGGAUCGUAAAACUCUGUUAUUAGGGAAGAACAAAUGUGUAAGUAACUAUGCACGUCUUGACGGUACCUAAUCAGAAAGCCACGGCUAACUACGUACCAGCAGCCGCGGUAAUACGUAGGUGGCAAGCGUUAUCCGGAAUUAUUGGGCGUAAAGCGCGCGUAGGCGGUUUUUUAAGGCUGAUGUGAAAGCCCACGGCUCAACCGUGGAGGGUCAUUUGAAACUGGAAAACUUGAGUGCAAAAGAGGAAAGUGGAAUUCCAUGUGUAGCGGUGAAAUGCGCAGAUAUACGGAGGGACACCAAUGGCGAAGGCCACUUUCUGGUCUGUGACUGACGCUGAUGUGCGAAAGCGUGGGGAUCAAACAGG
rnacentral:rRNA from 1 species